UCGAGAAUUUUUCACAAUGGGGGAAACCCUGAUGGAGCGACGCCGCGUGGGGGAUGAAUGGCUUCGGCCCGUAAACCCCUGUCAUUUGCGAACAAACUUUUUCAUUUAAUAGAUGAAGAACUGAUUGUAGCGGAAGAGGAAGGGACGGCUAACUCUGUGCCAGCAGCCGCGGUAAUACAGAGGUCCCAAGCGUUGUUCGGAUUCACUGGGCGUAAAGGGUGCGCAGGUGGCCAGGUAAGUCUGAUGUGAAAUCUCGAAGCUUAACUUCGAAACUGCACUGGAUACUAUCUGGCUAGAGGGUCGGAGGGGGGACUGGAAUUCUCGGUGUAGCAGUGAAAUGCGUAGAUAUCGAGAGGAACACCAGUGGCGAAGGCGAGUCCCUGGACGACUCCUGACACUGAGGCACGAAAGCUAGGGGAGCAAACAGGAUUAGAUACCCGGGUAGUCC
rnacentral:rRNA from 1 species